rnacentral:rRNA from 1 species
AUGGAUCUCCCAGACCUCAACUUCACUCCACCUACAGAAGAUGUGGAUGAAAUGGAUGAAGAUGCAGAAAAUGAAAUGGAAGGACAUGUAGGAGAAGAAAUGGAAGGAGAUACAAAAGAGGGGAUGGAAGGAGAUGAAAUAGUUCAAAAUCCUGGUGUUGGUCAAGUUGCUAGGAAAUAUAAAACCCUCAAUGACCAGAAAAAAUUUGCUGCUUAUGUAGCAAUGCAUACACUGUGUAUGAGUAGAGGAGGCACUUUUUUGGGAACUGAUAAGCAAGACAUUGCAAAAAAAUUUGGAGUGGGUGUUUGGAAUAUACAAAGAAUUUGGAGGAAAGCAAAUUAG